rnacentral:rRNA from 1 species
UACCACCCUUUAAUGGCUGGUGUUCUAACGUGGACCCGUUACCCGGGUUGCGGACAGUGUCUGGUGGGUAGUUUGACUGGGGCGGUCUCCUCCCAAAGAGUAACGGAGGAGCACGAAGGUUGGCUAAUCCUGGUCGGACAUCAGGAGGUUAGUGCAAUGGCAUAAGCCAGCUUGACUGCGAGCGUGACGGCGCGAGCAGGUGCGAAAGCAGGUCAUAGUGAUCCGGUGGUUCUGAAUGGAAGGGCCAUCGCUCAACGGAUAAAAGGUACUCCGGGGAUAACAGGCUGAUACCGCCCAAGAGUUCAUAUCGACGGCGGUGUUUGGCACCUCGAUGUCGGCUCAUCACAUCCUGGGGCUGAAGUAGGUCCCAAGGGUAUGGCUGUUCGCCAUUUAAAGUGGUACGCGAGCUGGGUUUAGAACGUCGUGAGACAGUUCGGUCCCUAUCUGCCGUGGGCGCUGGAGAAUUGAGGGGGGCUGCUCCUAGUACGAGAGGACCGGAGUGGACGCAUCACUGGUGUUCGGGUUGUCAUGCCAAUGGCACUGCCCGGUAGCUAAAUGCGGAAGAGAUAAGUGCUGAAAGCAUCUAAGCACGAAACUUGCCCCGAGAUGAGUUCUCCCUGAGACUUUAAGUCUCCUGAAGGAACGUUAAAGACGAUGACGUUGAUAGGUCGGGUGUGUAAGCGCAGCGAUGCGUUGAGCUAACCGAUACUAAUGAACCGUGAGGCUUAACCUU